UUUUCCACCAUGGUUUGUGUGGGCUGCCAUUUCCAUAAUGCCCUGGAACAAUGCUAGACCCAGGGUACUGUGAAAGAUGCAAAAUAUUGAUUUACCCUGCUUCUCAAAAGCAACCUGGCAUGUACUACAAUGCCCCUCUUCCAUGAGAAGAAACCACCCAGUGUGUUUUACAUAAUUAUAAGAGCUGAAGGCUCAAGUAUCAAUCUAUUUUGCACAGGUGGAUCACUUGAAGAGAAAAUGCCACUCACUAAAAGAAUAACAUCCCCCCUGUGUUUUAAAACUUUGGCUGUGCAAUCCUGCCUCAAAGAUGAUGACAAUGAUAGUGACACUAGGAUAUACCUAUAUUAUAAACCUGGUCUCAGAUGUUAAUGAGAUUUGCACAGUUAAACAGGAUUUUCCUCCGCAAAAUGUAACUGUGGGAGAUGAUUGUCUAUAUCAAAGAAUUUUCAAAAACAACAAAGAGCGUAAGAAAAGAACAGAGAGCAAUCAACUUGCAAAAUCAUCCUAUCACCCCAAAUAUUUCUACAUGCAUAUACUUGGCAAGA